rnacentral:rRNA from 2 species
UAACGGCAAUGUACUGUCUGGCUGGGUCUUACCUCUUGGUGAGCCGGUGUGCCCUUUAUUGGUGUGCAUUGGGGAACCAGGACUUUUACCUUGAGAAAAUUAGAGUGUUCAAAGCAGGCCUAUGCCCGAAUACAUUAGCAUGGAAUAAUAAAAUAGGACGUGCGGUUCUAUUUUGUUGGUUUCUAGAGUCGCCGUAAUGAUUAAUAGGGAUAGUUGGGGGCAUUGGUAUUGAGUCGCUAGAGGUGAAAUUCUUGGAUUGACUCAAGACCAACUAUUGCGAAAGCAUUUGCCAAGGAUGUUUUCAUUAAUCAAGAACGAAGGUUAGGGGAUCGAAAACGAUCAGAUACCGUUGUAGUCUUAACC